UACGUAGGUGGCAAGCGUUGUCCGGAUUUACUGGGCGUAAAGAGCGCGCAGGCGGUCGUUCAAGUCGCGUGUGAAAGCCCCCGGCUCAACUGGGGAGGGUCACGCGAUACUGAUCGACUCGAAGGCAGGAGAGGGAAGUGGAAUUCCGGGUGUAGUGGUGAAAUGCGUAGAUAUCCGGAGGAACACCAGUGGCGAAGGCGACUUUCUGGCCUGUUCUUGACGCUGAGGCGCGAAAGCUAGGGGAGCAAACGGG
rnacentral:rRNA from 1 species